GCUCGUUUUCUGUGCCAUUCGUUAUUUUAUUGGCCAUCAUAUAUUUUAUAUAUAAUUUAGUUUUACGAUUGCAAAUUGCUUACUGGUAACAGAUUACAGGUAACAAUAAAUGCAAACAAAUGCAUUAUGUUGUAUGAAUUGGUCAUAUUUUAAUCAUGAACAAAAAGUCUGUAAAAGUGUUGUGUAACUUACAUCUUUGGGCUUAACUGUAAUUAGCAAGUAACCAACAAUUUCCCGUUUACCUCCCUUUGUAGGCUAUGACUGAGCACAUUACAGCACACGCUUGUGAGUCUGAGACUGGAUGAAGGGCAAACAUUUGACUGUGAGUCUGAGACUUGAUGAAGGUUCAUUAGACAGCUGAGUUCGAUCGGUGUCCGGGUCAUAGGGUGGAAGAUGUAGGAGCGAGGAAACGAUUUCGCUGCGAUUGGAGAUGCAGAUCCACCGGUCAGUGUGGUUUGGCCUA